CCAACCCUAUGGGCCGCUUACCACGGCAACCUCGAGGCGCUGCGGCUCAUUGUAGGGAGAGGAGUGGACACGUGUGUUUACAUACACGUCAGCAGGAAAUAAGACUACCUGCACCAACAUGAGCAGACAGGACUCUGAGGGUGAAGUGCCUUUAUUCCAUGAAGAUGAAAAUGCAUUUACAGAGAAGAAAUCAAAAAUCAAACACCCUUUGGCAUGUUUCUUUCAUCUUUUCUUCCGCACAAGUGCCAUCCUGAUCUACCUCUUUUGUGAGUUUCUUAGCCGAAGUUUUAUUGCCAACAUGGUCGCCAUCAUUUUACUUCUGUCAUGUGACUUCUGGACAGUAAAGAAUGUGACAGGGCGACUGUUGGUGGGUUUGAGAUGGUGGAAUCAGGUUGAUGAAAACGGUCACAGUCAUUGGAUGUUCGAAUCCAGAUCAAAAACCAGUAAAAAUGUGGUCUCAAACUCUGAUUCACGCAUUUUCUGGAUUGGUCUGAUCAUGUGUCCAGUGUUUUGGGUUUUCUUUCUGUUUAGCUCACUUUUUUCCUUCAACAUAAAGUGGUUGGUGGUUGUGAUCAUGGGAGUUGUGCUGCAGUGGGCUAACCUGUAUGGAUAUGUGCGAUGCAAAGUAGGUGGUGCAACCAAACUGAAGAACAUGGCGAGUAAUUACUUUGGCCUUAAGCUCUUCAAAAAGGUAGUAAACAAACCAGAGGGACCCUAAUUUGACUGUGGAUCAGACUUCAUUUAAUUGGCUAGAAUGGAUUGUUUCAGUCUGAUCAUUAUCAUUUUUUAUGUGAAGAAUACAAGGCGGAACAAAGAGGAAACUGACAACACGUCAACAGACAAGGCAGAGCAGGUUACUUCUGGUAUGAAAGAAGGUCACAGCUUUCAAAUUUUGUAAUUUAAUAUUGUUUAAACAAUAAAUACCAUUUUGUGGCUCCUUAAUGUGUUGUGGCAGAUCACUGUAUUGCUUCAGAUCAAUCGACACAUGAACCGAUUGAUCGACACAUGAAUCUCUGUUUGAAAACCUGCAAUUGCAGUUAUUUUUGGAAUUACCAUUCUUGUAAUUAGAUGCACAUUUUAAACUGGAAUGUAAUUAAAUUUCAGUCACAUGUGUUUCAUAAACACAUGAUCCUUUCUGGAUUACAAUCCACCAUCAAAUUGCUAAAUUUAAUUAUUCCAGCUGCUUUGAGAAAAGGCAAUAAACAAUCCAGCACCUGCAGCAUCCUCAUAUGCGAGAUAAUGUGGCAAUAUAGCCUGGACGCCUUCUUUAUUUUUACAGAUGUGACGUUAUAACGCCGCGUCAUGCUCGAAUUUCCCACAAAAGCCUACCCGUACCACUCAAAUUAGAAAACAUUAUUAUAAGAUAACCGUUAUUCAAAUAUUGAUUUCAGAUCAUUUUUAACCAAAAGGACUGCAGCUUUAAAACAUGAAAUAAACAUGAAUGAACAUCAGAAUGUAUUUUAUUUCAACCACAGAAAGACAUCAAUACUCACAAUUUUUUCUUGUUAAUCUACUCCUGUCUGAUUUGUUUGUCGAACGAAAUGGCGGAUUCAAGCAUUAUGAUGGGUCAGAUUGCCUGUUAAUCAAGCUUAUUGCAAAGGAUCAAAUUUUAAAAGACGUUUCACUCAUUGCCUGCACUUCUGCAGUUAUCUUUCUCUAUAGUUGCAUUCACUCAUUUCCCAAAGUCAUCUUGAAUGUUGAAAAAUUGGAGAGAACACAUAAGCUGACUUCAUACACUCAUGUUGACUUUCCUAAAAUGGUUUUCAAACUCACACAUUUAAGUGACUAGUGUUCCCUUUGGUUGGGCACUUGGAACUUCAUUCAUUCAUAUUAUUGUAAUUCUCUUCCUUCUGAUGCAACAUGAAUUUACAGUUAUGUGGCUUCAAGGAAAGGGACAUAAUAAAAAGGUUGCUUUUAAAAGAUGACCUAAAUUCUAACUAAAUCAUUAACUGGUCUGUUUUUAAUGUGGAGUAAUGAUCUUUCACAAUUGUAUUGCUACAUUUGUCAUACAGUUGUGGAUUAACUAGUUACAUGUAACGAAAUUACGACCUCCAUCUUCAUUACAACCUCCUCCUUCAUUACAAAAUGAAUGUAUGAAUGUUUUUGAAAUCAAAUACUUACAUUGCUACAACAGGAAACACUGGCAUCUAACAAAAAAAAGUUAAUCUUAAAAAAUAAAGCAUAUGCAUAAACCCAAAUCACUGUUGAGUACUAUGGCAAGGUUAACCUUGUCUGCUUUAAAUGUUUUAAGAUGAUUAACAGCUGAAAACAUUCAUUAGAAAUUUAGAAAAGUAAUCAAAUGUAAUCAGUUACAUAAUUUUAGUAAAGUAAUUUAAAUAGUUACACUACUUAUUACAUUUUAAAUAAUGUAACUUGUAAUCUGUAACCUAGUACUUUUCCAAAGUAGCCAUCCCAACACUGAUCAUAAACACCUUGUGAAGCUUUUAACAGGGAUGAUAUAUUCGUUUGAUAAUAUCUUGCAACUGAGUAACACAUAGACUUCAACAUUCAGCACGCAAAACUCACAAGCGGAUACCGUUUUUGGUAACAGUUUAUUUUACGGUUUCUUAACUAGCUGCUUAUUAGCAUGCAUAUUACUAGAAUAUUAGCCAUUUAUUAGUACUAAUUAAGCACAUAUUAGUGCCUUAUUCUGCAUAACCUUAUUCUACAUCCCUAACUUAACAGCUACCUUAAAUAACUAUUAAUAAGCAGCAAAUUAGAAAUUUAUUGAGGGAAAAGUUGUUGUUAAUCGUGAAUAAGUGUUCCCUAUUCUAGUGUUAACCAAAUGGUAUUUAUUUUCAUUAAUUAUAACAAUAACAGUGGUAUUUGCUCAUUUUGUUGUGCUACUACUGACACAAGACAGUAAAUAAAAAAAGUUGGCAAAAAAGUCAGUAAUUCUAAGUAGCUAUACUAAGUCAAGAGUAAAUCUUAAGUACUCUCUACAGCUUUUUUUUAGUUACUAGAACUCUCAUGUAAAUGAACUAUACUAACUAAGCAUUUGUCAGAACAACAUGAUAUUCCUCGUUCACUCUUUUUAAGGCAAUCGGUUUGUAUGCUUUUUUCAGUAAGCCUAACUAAUUAGGUUUUACAGUGUAGUAUUUUGGCAACCUUGCUAACUAUUAAUAAGCAGAAAAUUAGGAGUUUAUUGAGACAAGUCAUAGUCAAUAGUUAGUUAAUAUUGAAAACUGGUCCUCAAGCUAAAAUCUGACCAAUCUUUGCAAAGAAGGAGCCAUGGGUUACCACCAUUGUCCCUUUGAGAAAGGUGCUUGCAGAAAUGGUGAAAUAAAAGAUGGAUUUUUAUGGCUUUUACCCAAUGUCUGUUAGCUUUGAUGUUGUCUAUGAUAGUGUACAUGACCUCAAGGUAGGGGUCAAGGUAGACGUUAGCUACUGCUGACAGAUGACAUAAGAACACCAUUCUGGGAGUAUAAAAGCAAUAUAAGAGUAGCUGUUUAUUCAGGUGAAAAAGAAGAAAAAAAUCCAACCCAGUUGAUCCAAUAACUGGAAAAACAAGCCUGUAGUGAUAUUACUGAAAAAUUACAUAAUGUUGCUAUUUGCAUGUUUAAUCGCUUUUUCAAAGUGAAAUUUUUAGUGCAAAAGUCGGUGACAAUAAAACAGUGUUCAAUUCCAUCUGAAACAGAUGAACGUGAAUGUGGCAGCGUCUUAUCAUUACUUAUUGCGGCAGUUUGAAAAUGAAUUAUCCAGUGAGUGGUGCGUAAAGGUUAAAGGUUUCGCAUUUGUUAAAAGUUUUGCAAUCUAAAAUGAUGUACCAUCUACACUAAACCCUACACUGUAAAAAAUGCAAGGAAUUUGCAGGAUUAAAGAGUAAAUUUGUGAAAUCAA